UGAGGAUCAUGCUUGUGGGAGCUGAAAUACAGGGAAUCCACUUGGGCAGGUCUGAAACAAGUGAAGGAAAGUCUUCCAAAAAACCAGCUCCUGCCAGGACUCUGCAUUCAAGCCUGGCUGUGCAGCAAACAGUAGAUCCCAGCAAUGGUGGAACUUGAAGUGAGUUCCAAAAAACCCC